rnacentral:lncRNA from 1 species
GCUGAAUACUCACUCUGCAGUUGGGCACAGUUGAGUGAAGACGCAACAUUAUGUGUGGUGAAUUCACAAGUUUCAGCUUUUAUAAGACGUAGAAGCAAGUAUAUGAUUACACUUGGGCAAUCCAUUUAUGCUUAAAGAUUGACAUGCUGUCAAAGAUCUUUUUGUAAGAAGCCCACGGAGAAACUGUGCAACAUGGGCCUGCAAGCAACAAGGUCUUUGGUUGAUAUAUAUAUCAUCAAUUUCAUCUCUUAUAUCAAAUUCGAAUAAAUAUUUCUAUAA